AUUGAACGCUGGCGGCAGGCCUAACACAUGCAAGUCGAACGAGUGGCGGACGGGUGAGUAAUGUCUGGGAAACUGCCCGAUGGAGGGGGAUAACUACUGGAAACGGUAGCUAAUACCGCAUACCAUCGGAUGUGCCCUGAUGGGAUUAUCUAGUAGGUGGGGUAACGGCUCACCUAGGCGACGAUCCCUAGCUGGUCUGAGAGGAUGACCAGCCACACUGGAACGGAGACACGGGCCAGACUCCUACGGGAGGCAGCAGUGGGGAAUAUUGCGCAAUGGGCGAAAGCCUGAUGCAGCCAUGCCGCGUGUGUGAAGAAGGCCUUCGGGUUGUAAAGUACUUUCAGCGAGGAGGCGUUACUCAAAGAGGAAGCACCGGCUAACUCCGUGCCAGCAGCCGCGGUAAUUC
rnacentral:rRNA from 1 species